AGGGGCUUAGGAUAAAAGCCAGACCAUGGGCCUUCAAAGCCCCCAGUAGGAGUUAAACUCUCCUAGCCCCUG
rnacentral:tRNA from 1 species